GCUCCAGUAGCUCAGUGGAUAGAGCAACCGCCUUCUAAGCGGUCGGUCACAGGUUCGAGUCCUGUCUGGAGCG
rnacentral:tRNA from 2 species